rnacentral:rRNA from 1 species
GAUGAACGCUGGCGGCGUGCCUAAUACAUGCAAGUCGAGCGAACGGACGAGAAGCUUGCUUCUCUGAUGUUAGCGGCGGACGGGUGAGUAACACGUGGAUAACCUACCUAUAAGACUGGGAUAACUUCGGGAAACCGGAGCUAAUACCGGAUAAUAUUUUGAACCGCAUGGUUUAAAAGUGAAAGACGGUCUUGCUGUCACUUAUAGAUGGAUCCGCGCUGCAUUAGCUAGUUGGUAAGGUAACGGCUUACCAAGGCAACGAUGCAUAGCCGACCUGAGAGGGUGAUCGGCCACACUGGAACUGAGACACGGUCCAGACUCCUACGGGAGGCGGCAGUAGGGAAUCUUCCGCAAUGGGCGAAAGCCUGACGGAGCAACGCCGCGUGAGUGAUGAAGGUCUUCGGAUCGUAAAACUCUGUUAUUAGGGAAGAACAUAUGUGUAAGUAACUGUGCACAUCUUGACGGUACCUAAUCAGAAAGCCACGGCUAACUACGUGCCAGCAGCCGCGGUAAUACGUAGGUGGCAAGCGUUAUCCGGAAUUAUUGGGCGUAAAGCGCGCGUAGGCGGUUUUUUAAGUCUGAUGUGAAAGCCCACGGCUCAACCGUGGAGGGUCAUUGGAAACUGGAAAACUUGAGUGCAGAAGAGGAAAGUGGAAUUCCAUGUGUAGCGGUGAAAUGCGCAGAGAUAUGGAGGAACACCAGUGGCGAAGGCGACUUUCUGGUCUGUAACUGACGCUGAUGUGCGAAAGCGUGGGGAUCAAACAGGAUUAGAUACCCUGGUAGUCCACGCCGUAAACGAUGAGUGCUAAGUGUUAGGGGGUUUCCGCCCCUUAGUGCUGCAGCUAACGCAUUAAGCACUCCGCCUGGGGAGUACGACCGCAAGGUUGAAACUCAAAGGAAUUGACGGGGACCCGCACAAGCGGUGGAGCAUGUGGUUUAAUUCGAAGCAACGCGAAGAACCUUACCAAAUCUUGACAUCCUUUGACAACUCUAGAGAUAGAGCCUUCCCCUUCGGGGGGGCAAAGUGACAGGUGGUGCAUGGUUGUCGUCAGCUCGUGUCGUGAGAUGUUGGGUUAAGUCCCGCAACGAGCGCAACCCUUAAGCUUAGUUGCCAUCAUUAAGUUGGGCACUCUAAGUUGACUGCCGGUGACAAACCGGAGGAAGGUGGGGAUGACGUCAAAUCAUCAUGCCCCUUAUGAUCUGGGCUACACACGUGCUACAAUGGACAAUACAAAGGGCAGCGAAACCGCGAGGUCAAGCAAAUCCCAUAAAGUUGUUCUCAGUUCGGAUUGUAGUCUGCAACUCGACUACAUGAAGCUGGAAUCGCUAGUAAUCGUAGAUCAGCAUGCUACGGUGAAUACGUUCCCGGGUCU